GGCACAACCGCAACCCGCGCGUACGUCUCGCCGGUUUCCGCGAUUUAUCGAAAUAUAAACACUACUAGUUAAUUGCUUGCUAUGAACAACGAUCGGUGUUUAUCAAACAGCUCCGUGUUGAUCGAUUUUACCUCAACCCGUGUAUUGGUUUAAGUUCGUUGGUGCAAUGGCGAUGAAGGAGUGGCUGCAGUGGCUGCCGCCGCCGCGGUCGUUGCUCGCUCUGGUGGUGGCGGUAGGCGGUUUCAGCGGGCGGCUGUUCGCGGCGCACGUCACUCACUCGCCCACGCUGCUCGUCGACGCCUGCCACGCCCUCUGCCGUCUCGUCGGCCUCAUCACCACGUUGCUGGCAUACAAGUACGAGCGCGCGGACGAAGGCGAGGGCCACGAGGGGCGACUCCGCAACACUUUCGGCUGGGCCCGCAUCGAGGUCGUCGGCCGGCUGUCCGUUCACGUGCUGUUCGCGUCCUUCGCCUUAACCCUGGUGGUUAACGCGCUCCAGCUCGCAGUGCACUCCUCCCACGGCCAACCGCCGCUCUACCCGAAACUGAUACUGGGAUGCGGCGUCAUAGGGCUACUGCUGUACGCGAUUAACUAUAUGCUGUUGGCGGGACGUGAGCUAAGCUACAGCCGGAGGCUCAGUAUGACGGAAGGCGGCGAGGUGGUGCUGAAAACGGGCGCGGGGGAGCCGGUGCUCGCGUACGCACCCGCUGAUAUCGCCAGCAGCCUGUUCGUGAUGGGCGCGGGCAUGAACCUGGAGUGGGAGCUACUGCCGGCCAAGAUCGCCGACCCCGCCAUGUCCGCCGCCGCCGCCAUCCUGCUCGUCAUAUUCAACUACCCCUUUAUGCGAUCGGCUGGGCUGAUACUGCUGCAAACCGUACCGGAGGGGCUCGGGGCAGGCGCGCUGCGGGCGGCAGCGCUGCGCGUGCCCGGUGUGCGCGCAAUACACGAGCUGCACGUGUGGCAGCUGCACAGAGACAAGCUGGUCGCCACCGCUCACGUCGCUUAUGAAUCACCCGAGGACUACCUCCGCAGCUCGGCGCUCGUGUGCGACGUGUUCAAGCGACACGGCAUCGGCCUGGUCACACUACAGCCAGAGUUUCUGUUCACUUCCAAGACCGGAUCAGAAGAAGAGAACUUAUUAGUUGAGUUCGCGAACGUGGCGUGCUCUUGUCCGUGCGCAAAGCAGUGCGCGGCGCCGCGGUGUUGCCAGCCCCCGCCGCCGCCGCCGCCCGUCACCAGGAUUUGACAGUGUUGCCAACUUGCUAUAUACACUUUGAUGUAGGCCCAUAUUAAAAACCGCUCCGUUAUAACAUACCUACUCUGGGCUGAUGAGCUAUGAGAGUCUUAAAAUAUAUGACAUUUUAUUAUAAUAAUUUCAUUAGUUAAAUAAUUAGGUCAAGUCUCGACCUGACAGUGUUAAAUAAAACGCCAUCCCAAGAAUGAUCUCGAGCAUUAACUUGGUGGUUAGAGCGGCUUAUUAACGGAUCGUAAAGGUAGCGUUUCACAAAAUAGACCAGCCAAAAAGGAUCGCAAUUUCGUGGGACGAGGAGUUAGAGCAUUAGUAAAGGCAGCCGUAAGUUGAUCACAUGGUAUGACGUAUUGGUAGUUGUUAAUUGUUAUACCCAUAGGCCACGUUUCCUGACUGGCCUUAAAAUUAUGCGCAGUCUUAUCGCAAUGCGAUGUCGCAGAGACAAAAUACAUAGGAGAAGGACAGGGAUAUAUUUUAUUUAAAACAUAAUGCCUUUAUCAUUAUAACCGCGCUUUUGCAAAAUUUGCGCUAUUUUAAGAGGUGUUCAAUAAUCACGUAUUGAUGUUAAUUAAUUAUUGACAUAACUUCUAACCAAAUUUGAAAACUUACAACGUGGGUAUAAGCAAGCCAAAGUUCAAUCGAAUAGAAUAAGUUCUAAGUAGUGCCUCUGUUUACAAAACUACAUGGUUAAAAUGCUCAAUAAAUUAACCAUUGAGACAAAAAGGUGUUACAAAAUCCUAUAAUAUAAUAUUUUAUG